AUUGAACGCUGGCGGCAGGCUUAACACAUGCAAGUCGAGCGGAGAUGAGGUGCUUGCACAUUAUCUUAGCGGCGGACGGGUGAGUAAUGCUUAGGAAUCUGCCUAUUAGUGGGGGACAACAUUCCGAAAGGAAUGCUAAUACCGCAUACGUCCUACGGGAGAAAGCAGGGGACCUUCGGGCCUUGCGCUAAUAGAUGAGCCUAAGUCGGAUUAGCUAGUUGGUGGGGUAAAGGCCUACCAAGGCGACGAUCUGUAGCGGGUCUGAGAGGAUGAUCCGCCACACUGGGACUGAGACACGGCCCAGACUCCUACGGGAGGCAGCAGUGGGGAAUAUUGGACAAUGGGGGGAACCCUGAUCCAGCCAUGCCGCGUGUGUGAAGAAGGCCUUAUGGUUGUAAAGCACCUUAAGCGAGGAGGAGGCUACUGAGACUAAUACUCUUGGAUAGUGGACGUUACUCGCAGAAUAAGCACCGGCUAACUCUGUGCCAGCAGCCGCUGUAAAAC
rnacentral:rRNA from 1 species